UCCGUUUGAUCCUGGCGGAGGUUACUGCUAUCGAGGUUCGACUAAGCCAUGCGAGUCGAAUGUAGCAAUACAUGGCGAACUGCUCAGUAACACGUGGACAACCUGCCCUUAGGACGGGGAUAAACCCGGGAAACUGGGUAUAAUACCCGAUAGGUCUCGAUUGCUGGAAUGCAUCGAGAUUUAAAGCUCCGGCGCCUAAGGAUGGGUCUGCGGCCUAUCAGGUAGUAGUGGGUGUAGCGUACCUACUAGCCUACGACGGGUACGGGUUGUGAGAGCAAGAGCCCGGAGAUGGAUUCUGAGACACGAAUCCAGGCCCUACGGGGUGCAGCAGGCGCGAAAACUUUACAAUGCUGGCAACAGCGAUAAGGGAACCUCGAGUGCCAGGUUACAAAUCUGGCUGUCGAGAUGCCUAAAAAGCAUUUCAUAGCAAGGGCCGGGCAAGACCGGUGCCAGCCGCCGCGGUAACACCGGCGGCUCGAGUGGUAACCGUUAUUAUUGGG
rnacentral:rRNA from 1 species